UUAUGGAGCGCUGCAUUCAUCUGCUGUCUGAUCCCAGCCUCAGGCUCCGACUCAAGGUACUGGACGUGCUGGAGUUGUGCCUUCAGGUGCUGAGUGAGAGGGAAAAUGAACUGCUGCCUAUGGCUCAUCGCUGCUGGCCAGCACUCCUGCAGACACUCACAGCCGAUGACCCAUUAGCCGUCCUCAGAGCCUUCAGGGGCUGCCGUGCAGGUCACCUACAGCUCCACCAGUCACACGUCUGUACGAUCAGGGGAGCCCACUGGAGACAAGUCCACAGGAAGCAUGUGGAAGAUGAUUCUGGUGCUGCUGCCUUUAGCUGUGUUAUCAGCUGUGUGCUACUACGCCUACGCCUACAUCGUGUGAUGAACAGUGGAAGGAUUGUUCCAUCGAUGUCACAUCGAGAU